rnacentral:rRNA from 1 species
UACGAAGGGGGCUAGCGUUGCUCGGAAUCACUGGGCGUAAAGCGCACGUAGGCGGGUUGCUAAGUCAGGGGUGAAAUCCUGGAGCUCAACUCCAGAACUGCCUUUGAUACUGGCGAUCUCGAGUCCGGGAGAGGUGAGUGGAACUGCGAGUGUAGAGGUGAAAUUCGUAGAUAUUCGCAAGAACACCAGUGGCGAAGGCGGCUCACUGGCCCGGUACUGACGCUGAGGUGCGAAAGCGUGGGGAGCAAACAGGG